GAUGAACGCUGGCGGCGUGCCUAAUACAUGCAAGUCGAGCGAAUGGAUUAAGAGCUUGCUCUUAUGAAGUUAGCGGCGGACGGGUGAGUAACACGUGGGUAACCUGCCCAUAAGACUGGGAUAACUCCGGGAAACCGGGGCUAAUACCGGAUAACAUUUUGAACCGCAUGGUUCGAAAUUGAAAGGCGGCUUCGGCUGUCACUUAUGGAUGGACCCGCGUCGCAUUAGCUAGUUGGUGAGGUAACGGCUCACCAAGGCAACGAUGCGUAGCCGACCUGAGAGGGUGAUCGGCCACACUGGGACUGAGACACGGCCCAGACUCCUACGGGAGGCAGCAGUAGGGAAUCUUCCGCAAUGGACGAAAGUCUGACGGAGCAACGCCNCGUGAGUGAUGAAGGCUUUCGGGUCGUAAAACUCUGUUGUUAGGGAAGAACAAGUGCUAGUUGAAUAAGCUGGCACCUUGACGGUACCUAACCAGAAAGCCACGGCUAACUACGUGCCAGCAGCCGCGGUAAUACGUAGGUGGCAAGCGUUAUCCGGAAUUAUUGGGCGUAAAGCGCGCGCANGUGGUUUCUUNAGUCUGAUGUGAAAGCCCNCGGCUCAACCGUGGAGGGUCAUUGGAAACUGGGANACUUGAGUGCAAAAAANGAAAGUGGAAUUCNCUGUGUAGCGGUGAAAUGCGUAAANAUAUGGAGGAACACCCGUGGCGAAAGGGACUUUNUGGUCUGUAACUGNAACUGAAGGNCGGAANCGUGGGGGAGCAAAAAGNAUNAAAACCCUGGGUNUNCCCCCCNNAACAAUGANGGCUAAUGUUAAGGGUUCCCCCCUUUUUGNNGAANUUACCNUUAANNCCNCCCCGGGGAGANGCCCCAGGUNNAANCAAAGAAUNNGG
rnacentral:rRNA from 1 species